rnacentral:rRNA from 1 species
GUGGGGAAUCUUCCGCAAUGGACGAAAGUCUGACGGAGCAACGCCGCGUGAGUGAAGAAGGUUUUCGGAUCGUAAAGCUCUUUCGUUAGGGACGAACGUGCUCUUUGUGAAUAAUGAGGAGUAAUGACGGUACCUAAAUAAGAAGCCACGGCUAACUACGUGCCAGCAGCCGCGGUAAUACGUAGGUGGCAAGCGUUGUCCGGAAUUAUUGGGCGUAAAGCGCGCGCAGGCGGGAUAUCAAGUCUGUCUUAAAAGUGCGAGGCUCAACCUCGUGAGGGGACAGAAACUGGUAUUCUUGAGGGUCGGAGAGGAAAGUGGAAUUCCAAGUGUAGCGGUGAAAUGCGUAGAGAUUUGGAAGAACACCAGUGGCGAAGGCGACUUUCUGGACGAUGUCUGACGCUGAGGCGCGAAAGCUAGGGGAGCGAACGGGAUUAGAUACCCGAGUAGUCC